UACGGGGGGAGCAAGCGUUGUUCGGAUUUACUGGGCGUAAAGGGCGCGUAGGCGGCCAGCGCAAGUCAGUUGUGAAAUCUCCGGGCUUAACUCGGAACGGUCAACUGAUACUGCGCGGCUAGAGUGCGGAAGGGGCAACUGGAAUUCUCGGUGUAGCGGUGAAAUGCGUAGAUAUCGAGAGGAACACCUGCGGCGAAGGCGGGUAGCUGGGCCGACACUGACGCUGAGGCGCGAAAGCCAGGGGAGCGAACGGG
rnacentral:rRNA from 1 species